rnacentral:ncRNA from 2 species
UUGUUAUCAAGAAAGGCAGAGGGAAUAGACCCGUUGAAGCCUUAGCAACCCUUUAUUUUUAAAGAAGGUGCUAAAUUCUACCCAUUAUGGAUAGAUAACGA